rnacentral:lncRNA from 1 species
CCCGCCGGACCCCGGGACUACGGAAGCCAUCCCGUCCGGCCACCCACACCCGCGCCGCGGCUGGGGCUUGGGUUGGGGACUGUGGCGGCGAAGAAGCCGGGGGAGGGAGUUCUCACAAGAUCUGAUGGUUUAAGCGUGGCAGUUUCCCCUGAGCUCUCCUUCCUGCUGGUAUGUAAGGCGUGCUUUGCUUCCUCUUCACCUUCCGCCAUGAUUGUACAUUUCCUGAGGCCUCCCCAGCCAUGCAGAACUGCAUACAACUUAGGAUUCAUAACUACAUAUAUACGGAUAGAAGUGCAUGAACAGAAAAUCUGCCCUUCUGGAAUACCAAAUGCAAAAUUAAAGUGACUACAAGCAGAAUUUGGAGAAAAAAAUAAAAGAUGCAAUAUAGUUUUUAAAAUCAUUGUUAAAAUAUAAUGAGUCUGUACUUUGCUUAAACAAUAAAAAAGUCUUCGAUUUAUAAAAAAAAAAAAA